rnacentral:rRNA from 1 species
CACCGCCCGUCACACCCUGGGAAUUGGUUUCGCCCGAAGCAUCGGACCAAUGAUCACCCAUGACUUCUGUGUACCACUAGUGCCACAAAGGCCUUUGGUGGUGUUAUUGCCGCAUACCACGGUGGGGCUUCGACAGGGUGAAGUCGUAACAAGGUAGUCGUAGGGGAACCUGUGGCUG